rnacentral:sRNA from 1 species
UCCGGGUGUGGUGGCACAUGCCUGUAAUCCCAGCAGCUUGGGAGGCUGAGACAGGAGGAUGGCGAGUUUAAAGCCAGCAUCAAUAACAGCGAAGAGCUAAGCAACUCAAUGAGACCCUGUCUCUA